GGAGAUAUAGCUCAGCGGUAGAGCAGCCGACUGCAGAUCGGCAGGUCCUUGGUUCAAUCCCGAGUGUCUCCU